rnacentral:rRNA from 1 species
AUUGAACGCUGGCGGCAGGCCUAACACAUGCAAGUCGAACGAGUGGCGGACGGGUGAGUAAUGUCUGGGAAACUGCCCGAUGGAGGGGGGUAACUACUGGAAACGGUAGCUAAUACCGCAUACCAUCGGAUGUGCCCAGAUGGGAUUAGCUAGUAGGUGGGGUAACGGCUCACCAAGGCGACGAUCCCUAGCUGGCCUGAGAGGAUGACCGGCCACACUGGGACUGAGACACGGUCCAGACUCCUACGGGAGGCAGCAGUGGGGAAUAUUGGGCAAUGGGCGCAAGCCUGAUGCAGCCAGGCCGCGUGAAUGAAGAAGGCUUUCGGGUUGUAAAGUACUUUCAGCGGGGAGGCGUUACUCGCAGAAGAAGCACCGGCUAACUCCGUGCCAGCAGCCGCGGUAAUUC